rnacentral:rRNA from 1 species
GACGAACGCUGGCGGCGUGCUUAACACAUGCAAGUCGAACGGAAAGGCCCUGCUUUUGUGGGGUGCUCGAGUGGCGAACGGGUGAGUAACACGUGAGUAACCUGCCCUUGACUUUGGGAUAACUUCAGGAAACUGGGGCUAAUACCGGAUAGGAGCUCCUGCUGCAUGGUGGGGGUUGGAAAGUUUCGGCGGUUGGGGAUGGACUCGCGGCUUAUCAGCUUGUUGGUGGGGUAGUGGCUUACCAAGGCUUUGACGGGUAGCCGGCCUGAGAGGGUGACCGGCCACAUUGGGACUGAGAUACGGCCCAGACUCCUACGGGAGGCAGCAGUGGGGAAUAUUGCACAAUGGGCGGAAGCCUGAUGCAGCAACGCCGCGUGCGGGAUGACGGCCUUCGGGUUGUAAACCGCUUUCGCCUGUGACGAAGCGUGAGUGACGGUAAUGGGUAAAGAAGCACCGGCUAACUACGUGCCAGCAGCCGCGGUGAUACGUAGGGUGCGAGCGUUGUCCGGAUUUAUUGGGCGUAAAGGGCUCGUAGGUGGUUGAUCGCGUCGGAAGUGUAAUCUUGGGGCUUAACCCUGAGCGUGCUUUCGAUACGGGUUGACUUGAGGAAGGUAGGGGAGAAUGGAAUUCCUGGUGGAGCGGUGGAAUGCGCAGAUAUCAGGAGGAACACCAGUGGCGAAGGCGGUUCUCUGGGCCUUUCCUGACGCUGAGGAGCGAAAGCGUGGGGAGCGAACAGGCUUAGAUACCCUGGUAGUCCACGCUGUAAACGGUGGGUACUAGGUGUGGGGUCCAUUCCACGGGUUCCGUGCCGUAGCUAACGCUUUAAGUACCCCGCCUGGGGAGUACGGCCGCAAGGCUAAAACUCAAAGGAAUUGACGGGGCCCCGCACAAGCGGCGGAGCAUGCGGAUUAAUUCGAUGCAACGCGUAGAACCUUACCUGGGUUUGACAUGGAUCGGGAGCGCUCAGAGAUGGGUGUGCCUCUUUUGGGGUCGGUUCACAGGUGGUGCAUGGCUGUCGUCAGCUCGUGUCGUGAGAUGUUGGGUUAAGUCCCGCAACGAGCGCAACCCUUGUUCACUGUUGCCAGCACGUUAUGGUGGGGACUCAGUGGAGACCGCCGGGGUCAACUCGGAGGAAGGUGGGGAUGACGUCAAGUCAUCAUGCCCCUUAUGUCCAGGGCUUCACGCAUGCUACAAUGGCUGGUAUAGAGAGUGGCGAGCCUGUGAGGGUGAGCGAAUCUCGGAAUGCCGGUCUCAGUUCGGAUUGGGGUCUGCAACUCGACCUCAUGAAGUCGGAGUCGCUAGUAAUCGCAGAUCAGCAACGCUGCGGUGAAUACGUUCCCGGG